CCCUUAGAUGUUCUGGGCCGCACGCGCGCUACACUGAUGCAUUCAACGAGCCUAUCCUUGACCGACAGGUCCGGGUAAUCUUUGAAUCUGCAUCGUGACGGGGAUAGAUUAUUGCAAUUAUUAAUCUUCAACGAGGAAUGCCUAGUAGGCGCAAGUCAUCAGCUUGCGUCGAUUACGUCCCUGCCCUUUGUACACACCGCCCGUCGCUCCUACCGAUUGAGCAUCCCGGUGAAGACUCAGGAGAUAUGUACGUGGCUGGUCUCCAGCUGCGUUGCGUGCCGAAUUUGUCUAAACCUUGAUGCUUAGAGGAAGGAGAAGUCGUAACA
rnacentral:rRNA from 1 species